rnacentral:rRNA from 1 species
AGUGAACGCUGGCGGUAGGCCUAACACAUGCAAGUCGAACGGCAGCACAGUAAGAGCUUGCUCUUACGGGUGGCGAGUGGCGGACGGGUGAGGAAUACAUCGGAAUCUACUUUUUCGUGGGGGAUAACGUAGGGAAACUUACGCUAAUACCGCAUACGACCUACGGGUGAAAGCAGGGGAUCUUCGGACCUUGCGCGAUUGAAUGAGCCGAUGUCGGAUUAGCUAGUUGGCGGGGUAAAGGCCCACCAAGGCGACGAUCCGUAGCUGGUCUGAGAGGAUGAGCAGCCACACUGGAACUGAGACACGGUCCAGACUCCUACGGGAGGCAGCAGUGGGGAAUAUUGGACAAUGGGCGCAAGCCUGAUCCAGCCAUACCGCGUGGGUGAAGAAGGCCUUCGGGUUGUAAAGCCCUUUUGUUGGGAAAGAAAAGCAGCAGAUUAAUACCCCGCUGUUCUGACGGUACCCAAAGAAUAAGCACCGGCUAACUUCGUG